UUCACAACCCUUUCCAUCAAUCAUGGCUUCUGCAACUUUGUCGGCCCUUGCAGGAUCUCUUCUAUCACCUUUGCGUGACAUCAGUUUGGAGAAACUGAUCAAUUACUUAUGGGAUUAUCUAUCAUCAACACCUUCACCAUCCUCCUCUGAUGAGGCAGAGAAACAGCAACGACUGACUGAUUCACUGGAAGCCUUGGAAGAUGCCAAGUUGACUGUCAGGUUGAUGCAGAGUAGAAUCAUGAAAUUGUUUCAAAAACAUAAGCAAAACGAGAGGGUUGUUGGUUUGCACAACAAGCUCAAAGAUGUUGAUUACGACAUACAAGACUUGGAAUCAGAGAUGAACUACAUAGAGCUGGAGAGAAAGCUGCAGGAGAUCAACAAGGCUGAAGAAGAAGAAGAAGAAGAAGCUGACAGUACUAGUAGCCAAUUCAGUAGAAAGCGCUCGUUUCCAUUUCGUCUGCCAACUGCUUUCUUAUCUAAGAAAAAAUGUCGCCUUCCGAAAUCAUCGCAAUCCUCGAGUCUGUCAACAGAUGAAGACAUUGUGAGACAGGUUACUAGUAUUAUAAAACAAAUAAAUAGCAUUGAAUCCAAGUUGAAAGAUGAAAUCAAGUUGGAACAAUGGUUUGACCAGAUCACCUUCAAUGGAGUUUAUGAUCCAAGGGAACAUCAUCACUUCAGCAAAAACAAACGUGUCACAACAUCAUCAACAAAUGAAAAGAAAAUUUAUGGUCGAGAUGAUGAAAUACAACGGUUGAUUGAGUUUCUCAAAGGGCCAAAUGUCAAUGGUAACAUUUCUGUUGCACCAAUAGUUGGGAUGGGUGGUAUCGGAAAAACUACUUUGGCUCAGUUUAUCUACAACAACAGAGAAAUAGAAAAUUAUUUCGACAAGAAAGCGUGGAUACAUGUAUCACAUCACUUUGAUAAAUUCAAAAUUACCAAAGAAAUGGUAGAUAUUAUUAGUGUUCAAUGUGGCAACACCACUAACUUGGAUCUUCUUGAGAGAGAGCUCGAAAGGCAUUUAACAGAGAAGAAAUUCUUACUGGUGCUAGAUGAUGUUUGGUCUGAUGAAUGGCAAGAAUUCCUUAUCCCUCUCCAAUCCGCACAAGCACAGUCUGUUAAAAUCAUUAUGACCUGUAGAGAUCCCAAGGUAACAAGGAGCAUGGAUGAAGACAAUAAAAUUAUUUUGGAAGGUUUGCAUACUCAUGAGUACUGGUCAUUUUUUAUGAGUUGUGCCUUUUCGGGAAAAAAUCCUGAUAAUUAUGAGCAAGCAUUACAUGAUAUAGGAAAGUGUAUAAUCAGAAAAUUGAAAGGAUCACCAUUAGCAGCAAAGACAGUGGGAAAACUUUUAGGACAAAGUCUAACUGAGAAGCAUUGGAAAGAUGUCUUGGAGAGUGAUUUAUGGAAAUUGGAAGCUAAUGCACAUGAUAUUAUGCCUGCACUUGCAUUGAGUUACUAUCAUCUACCUCAACAUCUUCAGCUAUGUUUUGCCUUUUGUUCGGUGUUUCCUAAAAAUCAUUUAUAUUAUAUGGAUGACUUGAUUUGCAUGUGGAUAGCCAAUGGGUAUAUAAAUGAAAAUGAAAGUAGUUCAAAGACAAUGAAUGAUAUAGGAGAAGAGUAUUGUCAUGAACUACAAGCAAUGUCUUUCUUUGAUGCAGAUUCUUCUACAUGGUUCAGAAUGCAUGACUUAAUGCAUGAUUUGGCUCAAUUAGUUUCUCAUGGGGAUAUUUGUAUUUAUAAGAGUGGAAAAGAUAAAAAGAUCUCAAAAAAUGUCCGUCAUUUAUAUGCACAAGGUUUGGAUGAUCUUGGGCUAGUAUGCAUAACUAAUAACUUACGCACACUUGUGCUAGAGAGCCAUUAUGACAUGUCUGCCUUCCUCAACUAUGAAGCAUUCAAAAAAAUCAGAGUGCUAGUCAUCCUUGAUGCUAAUAUGGAAGAAUUCCCAGAUGCUAUUUGUCAUCUGAAACUCUUGCAAUAUUUGGAUUUGAAGAAGACUAACAUCAAAUCAAUACCGGAGUCACUAUGUCAGCUUUAUCAGUUAAGGGUGUUGAAAUUGCCGCCUUCACAUACCCUGCCACAUAUAUUUUGUAACCCUAUAAACCUAGGUUGGGGCAUGUCCGGUCACAAGCUUACAUAUAAUAAUGAAGGGGGGCCAGCAUAUCAUGUGAAAAGAGAAAGAUUCUACGUGAUUGCACAAUUGAGAAAUAUGAAUGAAGUAAGAGAACCACUUUCUAUUAUAGGUUUAGAGAACAUCGACAAUAUGGAAGAAGUGAUGGGAGUCAAAUUAAAGGAAAAACACCAUAUCAAGAACUUGCGUUUAUAUUUUAAUGAUACAGUGGAUCACUGCAAGCAUGAUGUCCAAGAAGAAGUUCUUGAAGGCCUUCAACCUCAUCCUAAUUUAGAAAAACUACGGAUUUACGGGUACCUGGGUUCCAAAUCGCCAAGCUGGCUUAUGACGCUUGCAUUACAGAAACUACGAAAAUUAUACUUAAUUAAGUGUAGAAAUUGGGUAUAUUUGCCUGCAGCACUUGGGUUGUUGCCCUCCCUGGAGGAACUAUGCUUAUGUGACCUCGAGAACAUAACAGUUGAAUGUGAUGAUUCUGUGGCUGAGAUGUUUCCAUCCCUACGUUUGCUUGAAUUCUACAAAGCAACAAUAUCAUUUAAGGGCAUGUCAACCUCAUCAUCAUCAUCAUCAUCAUCAUCAUCAUCUCUAACAACACCAGUACAUUGCAAGUUGUUUCCUCGUCUUCAGUUCCUCACUGUGGCAGAAUGUGAUGUAGUGAAUGGAUUACAAUGGGCCUUAUAUUCAGCACUAGAGCGGCUAUGUAUAAGAGAUAGUCUUGGUCUGGAUAACCAAUUGCCUGAAUGCCUCUCUGGCCUCUCUUCUCUUACUUUAUUGAAAAUAAGUGGGGCAAAGAUUGAAACCUUUCCUAACGAGGUGAUGGCCACAAUGCAUGCACUCAAGGGUUUAUGUCUUAAAGAUUGUAAUGAGCUUUUAUCAGUGGAGGGUUUACAAGCCCUCCCGUUCUUGAGAAUAUUGUUUAUUUCUUCUUGCCCAAAAUUCAAAUCAUGGUGUAUGGAGGAGAUGAUAGAGCUGGUCGAAUUAAAUAUAGAUGCUUGCCAAGAUUUAGAAUCUCUGCCUGCUUGGUUGCAUCGUCUUCCUUUACUGAAGGACUUGACUAUUAAGAGUUGCCCAAAGCUCCUCUCAAUGCCGGAGGGAGGCCUCCCUUCCUCGCUUGAAAAAUUGAGCAUCAUAGAUUGUGACCCAGGCUUAAUGCAACGGUACCAACAAGAGAGGUCUCCAGAAUGGCUUAUGAUUCAGCACAUCCCUCAAAUGAAUUUCAAUUUCUGAAAAUAUAUGAACGGUAUGAAUGUAUGGAUCCAUGACUUUAAUUGCUUGUUACUUUGUUUCCUCAUUUGAAUUAUUUAUAUAUAAUAUUAUCUUCAAUUUCACUCAUCUAAUCCAAAGUUAUGUUAGGAAAACAAUCAAGCUGUUUGGUAUCAACAUUUGCUCAAUCUUUUCCACUCUGGAAUCUAUUAAGAUCAAUUGUGACCGGCAUUAGAGGAUGUGAAGAAAUCACUCACAAAGUUCUCCGUGACAGUGAUUCUACUUCAUUUUGAGAAUAAUAUUAUUCUCUCGAGCAAGGACAAGCAGAAUUCAAGUUUUCCCAAACAAGUGUUGAAUACUUGGCUUUCAUUAAUAUGAUGCUCAUAUUUGAAUUAAUAGCAUUAAUUAUCUGACACUCAUGAGAGACUGAGGACAAAUGCUCACCAAUACUAGGCUGCAACAUCCAACAUUUCAUAACACAGAUUUGAUAAGAAAUGUGGACGAAUAUUUUUGUGAUUUUUGAGUUAUUAAUGUUGAUUUGCCCAAUCUCGGGGUUAAUUAUGUUGCUAGGCAAACUAGAGUGAUCACUUUAUAAUGUACUUUGAUUUUAUCAAACAAGUGGUAGUUGUUUGUGUUGAGUG